AACAGACAAACAGAAAUAACACAA
rnacentral:snRNA from 1 species